rnacentral:rRNA from 1 species
UAUUAUUUCAUGUGUAAAUUUAUUAAAUUUGAGUAGUAUUAGUUAUGAUCUUGAAACUCAAAGAAUUUGGCGGUUUUUUAGUCUUUUUAGAGGAAUCUGUCCUGUAAUCGAUAAUACACGAUUUGUUAUACUUAAUCUUGUAAUCAAUUUGUAUAUCGCCGUUAUAAGAAUGUCUUUGUUAUUGAGAGUUAAAAUUUUCUUCGAAUUCGAUUAGAUUUUAUUUCAGGUCAAGGUGCAGUUUAUGAUUAAGUGGGAGAUGGAUUACAAUAAUAUUAGUUAUAUGGAUUAAUAUAUUUAAUUUUAUUAUGAAGGUGGAUUUAAUUGUAAGUUUAUUAUUAAUUUUUAUGCUGAUUAUGGCUCUAGAAUAUGUACACAUCGCCCGUCGCUCUCGUUUUUUAAAAUGAG